rnacentral:rRNA from 1 species
AACUAACGCUGGCGGCGUGCCUAACACAUGCAAGUCGUACGAGAAAGUUGGCUUCGGCCGAUGAGUACAGUGGCGCACGGGUGAGUAACGCGUGGAUAAUCUGCCCUUAAGUGUGGAAUAACGUACCGAAAGGUGCGCUAAUACCGCAUAAUGCCUGGCAACAUAAGUUGUCCGGCCAAAGAAGGCCUCUGCUUGCAAGCUUUCGCUAAAGGAUGAGUCCGCGUACCAUUAGCUAGUUGGUGGGGUAACGGCCUACCAAGGCGACGAUGGUUAGCUGGUCUGAGAGGAUGAUCAGCCACACUGGAACUGAGACACGGUCCAGACUCCUACGGGAGGCAGCAGUGAGGAAUAUUGCGCAAUGGGGGCAACCCUGACGCAGCAACGCCGCGUGAGUGAGGAAGGUUUUCGGACCGUAAAGCUCUGUCGAGCGGGAAGAAAUGUAUCAUGGCUAAUAUCCAUGAUACUUGACGGUACCGCUAAAGG